rnacentral:misc_RNA from 1 species
GAAGAACGCAGCGAAAUGCGAUAAGUAAUGUGAAUUGCAGAAUUCAGUGAAUCAUCGAGUCUUUGAACGCACAUUGCGCCCCCUGGUAUUCCGGGGGGCAUGCCUGUCCGAGCGUCAUUGCUGCCCUCAAGCACGGCUUGUGUGUUGGGCCGUCGUCCCCCUCCUAGGGGACGGGCCCGAAAGGCAGCGGCGGCACCGCGUCCGGUCCUCGAGCGUAUGGGGCUUCGUCACCCGCUCCGUAGGCCCGGCCGGCGCUUGCCGACGACCAUCAAUCUCUUUCUCCAGGUUGACCUCGGAUCAGGUAGGGAUACCCGCUGAACUUAAGCAUAUCAAUAAGCGGAGGA